rnacentral:rRNA from 1 species
ACGCUCGACACCUACGGGAGCAGCAGUGGGGAAUAUUGGGCAAUGGGCGCAAGCCUGACCCAGCAACGCCGCGUGAAGGAAGAAGGCCCUCGGGUUGUAAACUUCUUUUAUCAGGGACGAAGCAAGUGACGGUACCUGAUGAAUAAGCCACGGCUAACUACGUGCCAGCAGCCACGGUAAUCUGAGCGGGCUGGCAAGGC